CUCUCUUUCUCUCAAAACCUCCGUCGUCCUCCUUUCAAUUUUUCUCAAGAUACCCCAAAUCGGCAACCCAAACUCCGUCGCCUUCCUCCUCACGACUCCACUCCGCCGAUAUCACGCCGUCGCUGUUGUCCCAGCUCACCGGGUCAGCCCUCACCAGCCACCGCCGCUGCUGUCUCCUUUGCGGAAAUUGCUACUACAGCGAGAGGGGGUGGUCGUCGUUCACAAUCCACCACUGUGGAAUCACCGCAGCCGAACAGCACAGCCGAGUCAGGCACCUCGCUGUCGCUUCUCUGCGGCCUUAUCUCGCCGUCGCCGCUGCUGCCAUUCCACCAAUAACUCCUCACUUGCUUUUCCUUAACUGAAUUUGGAUUUAUCUUGCAGGCAUAGAAGUGUUGUUAGCUAAAGAAGUGACAAUCGGUUGGAGUCUUUGGGGAUGUGGCAUGGCUGGCAGUCCUUUAGGGAGUCAAACAAGCUGUCCCCUAACAGCUGAUUCAUUUUGGCAGGGAAGUUGGAGGAUGCAGGUGCUAAAAAGAGAGGUGGCUGACUUGUCAUGUUUUGGUGCUUUAGGGAAAGAGUCGAGCUAGCUGGAUUCAACAUGGGCCGAAAAAAAAAUAUUUUAGCUUGCUAAGAAGAGGCCCAAAAUCUAUGUACACCCUUUUUUCAUGAUAGUUUCUUGACCCAAUAUUUAUUUUGGACUUGAGUUCUUUUAUAUUAAACGAAAAUUGAGAAUCUUCUUGAUC